UCAAACAAACCUCUGUUGCUUACAAGCUCUGCCCACAGCCCACCAGCACCAGCAUGGUUGAUCUCCUGUAGGGCAAGGAAUUCAAAAGGAUCAUUUGCUCGGCAAUAAAUGAAAAUGUUACAACAUCGCUAAAUGAGGUAAGUAAUCAAGCACUGCAGAAAUGCAGAAAGCUGUAAACUGAAAGUAAUUCAAAUUGUUAGUUUUCUCAUUAAUGGCAUCUUUUUGGUAAGUAAAACUAUGUAUCAUUAGAUGACAUCUUAGUAUGUCAUGGAUUGAUAUGUUGAAGGCCUUUUCCUUUUAAGAAGAAAACAUUCUAGAGCAAUCAAGUGAUUUAUGUAACCGUCUGUAAUUUUAGUCAAAUAUUAAUUGAACUAACCUCAAAGAAUAUUCCAAACAGUGUUUGAGGUAUUGGACGGCUUGACUGUUCGGAAGCAUCUAUAAACAGCUGAGCUGUCAGGUUUUUGUCAACCUCAUCAGCCAACAAUUGACGGGGAAGGCAGAAACUGAUGAAGAGGCAUAGUAAAAACACACAAGGAGCCUUGCAAU
rnacentral:lncRNA from 1 species